rnacentral:rRNA from 1 species
GAUGAACGCUAGCGGCAGGCCUAAUACAUGCAAGUCGAACGGUGUCUUCGGACAUAGUGGCGCACGGGUGCGUAACACGUAUGCAACCUUCCUUACAUUGGGGGAUAGCCUUUCGAAAGGGAGAUUAAUACCGCAUAAGACAGUAGCUGGGCAUCCAGCAGCUGUUAAAGAUUUAUCGAUGUAAGCUGGGCAUGCGUCCAAUUAGCUAGUUGGUGAGGUAACGGCUCACCAAGGCAAUGAUUGGUAGGGGAACUGAGAGGUCAAUCCCCCACACUGGCACUGAGAUACGGGCCAGACUCCUACGGGAGGCAGCAGUAGGGAAUAUUGGGCAAUGGAGGCAAGUCUGACCCAGCCAUGCCGCGUGCAGGAUGAAGGCGUUAUGCGUUGUAAACUGCUUUUAUACAGGAAGAAACGACUCUUGCGAGAGGCAUUGACGGUACUGUAUGAAUAAGCACCGGCUAACUCCGUGCCAGCAGCCGCGGUAAAAC